rnacentral:rRNA from 1 species
GACGAACGCUGGCGGCGUGCUUAACACAUGCAAGUCGAACGGUAAGGCCUUUCGGGGUACACGAGUGGCGAACGGGUGAGUAACACGUGGGUGAUCUGCCCUGCACUUCGGGAUAAGCCCGGGAAACUGGGUCUAAUACCGGAUAGGACUGCGCGGUGCAUGCCGUGUGGUGGAAAGAUUUAUCGGUGCAGGAUGGGCCCGCGGCCUAUCAGCUUGUUGGUGGGGUAAUGGCCUACCAAGGCGACGACGGGUAGCCGGCCUGAGAGGGCGACCGGCCACACUGGGACUGAGACACGGCCCAGACUCCUACGGGAGGCAGCAGUGGGGAAUAUUGCACAAUGGGCGCAAGCCUGAUGCAGCGACGCCGCGUGAGGGAUGACGGCCUUCGGAUUGUAAACCUCUUUCAGCAGGGACGAAGCGUGAGUGACGGUACCUGCAGAAGAAGCACCGGCCAACUACGUG